GACGAACGCUGGCGGCGUGCUUAACACAUGCAAGUCGAACGGAAAGGCCCUGCUUUUGUGGGGUGCUCGAGUGGCGAACGGGUGAGUAACACGUGAGUAACCUGCCCUUGACUUUGGGAUAACUUCAGGAAACUGGGGCUAAUACCGGAUAGGAGCUCCUGCUGCAUGGUGGGGGUUGGAAAGUUUCGGCGGUUGGGGAUGGACUCGCGGCUUAUCAGCUUGUUGGUGGGGUAGUGGCUUACCAAGGCUUUGACGGGUAGCCGGCCUGAGAGGGUGACCGGCCACAUUGGGACUGAGAUACGGCCCAGACUCCUACGGGAGGCAGCAGUGGUGAAUAUUGCGCAAUGGGCGGAAGCCUGAUGCAGCAACGCCGCGUGCGGGAUGACGGCCUUCGGGUUGUAAACCGCUUUCGCCUGUGACGAAGCGUGAGUGACGGUAAUGGGUAAAGAAGCACCGGCUAACUACGUG
rnacentral:rRNA from 1 species